rnacentral:rRNA from 1 species
UACAGAGGUGGCAAGCGUUGUUCGGAUUUAUUGGGCGUAAAGGGCUCGUAGGCGGCCAACUAAGUCAGACGUGAAAUCCCUCGGCUUAACCGGGGAACUGCGUCUGAUACUGGAUGGCUUGAGUUUGGGAGAGGGAUGCGGAAUUCCAGGUGUAGCGGUGAAAUGCGUAGAUAUCUGGAGGAACACCGGUGGCGAAGGCGGCAUCCUGGACCAACACUGACGCUGAGGAGCGAAAGCCAGGGGAGCAAACGGG